CGAUCUUCGCCGCGUGACCGCAGAUCCAUCUCUUCCAACGAUGGCACAUCGAUUUGGGGAUCCAUCUCUUCCAACGAUGGCACGUCGAUUUGGGGAUCUUGCCGUCUUCUCCAUCUACUUCCAUAAUCGAUCUUCGCCGCGUGAUUGCAGACUUACGUAGAAGUUAUGCUGCUAUACCAAAUGAUGGUAGCACCUAUCCAGAUAUUGUUAUGGACAACCCACUGUCUUAAAACCCUGAUAUCAUAUGGGGUCGCUUCUUCAGGAAUGCUGAGUUAGAAAGAAUGGUUGAUCGGGAUUUGUCUCGUUUAUACCUUGAGCACGAUAGAUAUUUCCAAACCCCUGGGAGCUAGGCUAUGUUGCGGCGUAUUUGGUUGCUAAAAGGACACUCUAGAAGGCUACAAGAAGGAGAUAUCAUGAAAUGACGCAAAUACCCUCCUUUUAAACGGUCAUCUAAUGGAAAUGUUAACGGAGGAUUAAAAUUGUCCUCGUCACAAUAAGAGUGUCCACAAAUUGUCUGAUUUUUUUAUGGAGGACCAAAA